rnacentral:lncRNA from 1 species
AGGCAAUGUGCAGGCGAGGGUGGGCAGCUGGGACAGAGCAGCCCAGGGCUGGCCCCUCACAGGGGAGCGGGGAGUGCUGGGGCUGGGGGUACCCUGGGCACGGGACACGGCCGGGAUGGCUGAAAAGAACAGGGAUCAAGGUGGGGAGUGAGCUGAGGGGCUGCCCCAUUCUGCACUGACACUUCUGGGACAGGGAUGUCCUCUACCCGUCCCCAUUCACUUCCACUUGUGUUUUGGUGGCACGGUGCAGAGAGCUGCACAAGUGUCUGUCCUUAAUGCUCCACAUGCUCAAGCCUUGCUCAAAUCUGGGUCUUGCUCCCUGUUAGUCUGGUCCCUCCCAGUCUGAGAGCAAGACUGUCUGUGCCCAUUCACCAGGUCAAAGAACUUUGGGGUCUAGCCAUGGAAUUAGUCAUGGAAUUUGAAGCACUCCUCUCUGAUCAUGCAUUGCUUUUGCUUUUCUUUUCCAGCGAGAAAAGAUGCAACUAUGGCGGACCAAGCUGCAGAGCUGAAGGAACAAGCUGCAGAGCUGGCAUGGAGAAGGUGUCUGCUGCCUCAUAACAGAGGUAGGUGUGCAUUGGGUUGCCCACUGAGAUGCUUCUCCUGCCCCUGCUGGGGCAUGUUCAGCAGCCAAGAGGUGCCCCAUCUCCUGCCCCGUGGGGCAGCUCCUGGCCCCGAGCUGGGGAAAGCCUGCCCAGGGCUGAGCUCUGCCCCUGAUGGCCUGGCUCCUUCUGUCCCUGCAGUGAAGGUGACCCUGGAUCCGGACACGGCUCAUCCCAUGCUUGUCCUGUCUCAGGACAACAGCAGUGUGAGAUGGGAAGACAUACCACAUCAGGUUCCUGACACACCAGAGAGAUUUCAGGAGAGUUUAUGCGUGCUGGGCCAUGAGGAGUUCAGAGAGGGCAGACACUGUUGGUUGGUGGAGGUGGAGGGGGAGUCGCUAAAGUAUUCU